rnacentral:rRNA from 1 species
GGGAAAGGGUGACAUCGAUAUGCGAUUCGUAGCAGGGUAGCCGUAAAAAAAGGGGCCUGACAAAAAAACCCAUAGAAGGGGGAGGGCCUAAAAGAGGCUCGGGGAAGACUUUCAAAAAAAAGAGAAAAGCCCGAUAAAAAAACGAGUUCGCAUGUUCUCUUUAUUAAAGGAUUCCGGUAAUCGAUGGGGAUGCUUUCCCUUUAAAUAGUUGGUGAGGUAACGGCUCUAUCCUCUUCGAUUGGUAUGUGUUUUGCCAGUAGGGUUCUC